AAGUCGUAACAAGGUAACCGUAGGGAACCUGCGGUUGGAUCACCUCCUUACCUUAAAGAA
rnacentral:rRNA from 1 species